UCUGGACCUGCUGUCAGCUGCUGAGAAGGAGGAAGUUGGAGGAGGAAGAGACUGCCUCCGGAUGUAGAGACCCUGUCUGCCGUGGAAGCUGCCUGACCGCAAGGACGCCUGACGACGGAGAGCCUCAUCCAUGAAGCCUGGAGACCUGGAACUCACCUGAAGCUGGGACACUCUGCAGAUGAAGUCAUCAGUGGUGUGAAAUGAACUGCAGCUUCCUCCUGUUUGGAGGAUGGAUGGAAGCUGAAGAGGAAACAGAGAACCCAAAGCUGACCUUUGACCUCCCCAACACCCUAACUCUGGUGUUGGUGUUCAGCAGUUAGCAGGAGAUGUGUCGUCUUCUGCCCCCUGGGGUUCCGGCUGCCCCUCUACAGCUCUUUGCUUCCAAGACAACCAGGUUGUGGUGACGGGCAGGACAUCAGCUUCCUGCGGCCGGCGCCUUCGCACGAAUCGAAGCAGCAGAAACAAG